rnacentral:snRNA from 2 species
AUACCUUUCUCGGCCUUUUGGCUAAGAUCAAGUGUAGUAUCUGUUCUUAUCAGUUUAAUAUCUGAUAUGUGGACCAAUGGUUCACACGAUAUUANUAGGCGUUGCUUCCAAGAUAGAGGAACAAAGUCUCU